rnacentral:misc_RNA from 1 species
AACGCACAUUGCGCCCUCUGGUAUUCCGGAGGGCAUGCCUGUUCGAGCGUCAUUACAACCCUCAAGCUCUGCUUGGUAUUGGGCUCUGCCGGUCCUGGCAGGCCUCAAAGUCAGUGGCGGUGCCAUCCGGCUCCAAGCGUAGUAAUUCUUCUCGCUUCGGAGGCCGCGGUGCGUGCUAGCCAGCAACCCCUAAUUUUUUCAGGUUGACCUCGGAUCAGGUAGGGAUACCCGCUGAACUUAA